rnacentral:rRNA from 1 species
GUUGAACGCUGGCGGCGUGCCUAAUACAUGCAAGUCGAGCGAACAGACGAGGAGCUUGCUCCUCUGACGUUAGCGGCGGACGGGUGAGUAACACGUGGAUAACCUACCUAUAAGACUGGGAUAACUUCGGGAAACCGGAGCUAAUACCGGAUAACAUGUUGAACCACAUGGUUCAACAGUGAAAGACGGUCUUGCUGUCACUUAUAGAUGGAUCCGCGCCGCAUUAGCUAGUUGGUAAGGUAACGGCUUACCAAGGCAACGAUGCGUAGCCGACCUGAGAGGGUGAUCGGCCACACUGGAACUGAGACACGGUCCAGACUCCUACGGGAGGCAGCAGUAGGGAAUCUUCCGCAAUGGGCGAAAGCCUGACGGAGCAACGCCGCGUGAGUGAAGAAGGUCUUCGGAUCGUAAAACUCUGUUAUUAGGGAAGAACAAAUGUGUAAGUAACUAUGCACGUCUUGACGGUACCUAAUCAGAAAGCCACGGCUAACUACGUG